rnacentral:rRNA from 1 species
GACGAACGCUGGCGGCGUGCUUAACACAUGCAAGUCGAACGGAAAGGCCCUGCUUUUGUGGGGUGCUCGAGUGGCGAACGGGUGAGUAACACGUGAGUAACCUGCCCUUGACUUUGGGAUAACUUCAGGAAACUUGGGCUAAUACCGGAUAUGAGCUCCUGCUGCAUGGUGUGGGUUGGAAAGUUUCGGCGGUUGGGGAUUGACUCGCGGCUUAUCAGCUUGUUGGUGGGGUAGUGGCUUACCAAUGCUUUGACGGGUAGCCGGCCUGAGAGGGUGACCGGCCAAAUUGGGACUGAGAUACGGCCCAGACUCCUACGGGAGGCAGCAGUGGGGAAUAUUGCAAAAUGGGCGGAAGCCUGAUGCAGCAACGCCGCGUGCGGGAUGACGGCCUUCGGGUUGUAAACCGCUUUCGCCUGUGACGAAGCGUGAGUGACGGUAAUGGGUAAAGAAGCACCGGCUAAAUACGUG